rnacentral:lncRNA from 1 species
UUAUUUUUAUUGCCAAAAAAAAAAAAAACACUUCUUGUUACAUGUACGUUAUCACCAUUAUUAUUUUCCCUUAGAAAAACCUUAUCAACUUAUGAAAUACGCAUCCGCCAUUAAAAAAUAAAAAUUUAAAGAGGAAGAUGUUACAAAGAAAUAUGGAGACAACGAACAAUAAAAAAAAAAAAAAAAAAAAAUUGAAUAAAAACCACAACACGUUCAAUGUAAUUUGAAUCACAAUUAAAUUCAGCCCCUUCCACAACCAUUUUCAUCACCACAAAAUCCUUACCCACACUAUACUCUUCAACUCAAUCUUCAAAAUUAACCCAUGAAUACGCAUUUGAUUUUGAUUACUUGAUCUAGGGUUUCAAAAUACAAUCCCCUAAAUCAUAAUUCAAAAUAAACCCAAAUAACUAAUGAAACCUUAAACCCAUAAUAACUAAACUUAAAGGGAACUAAGAGGUGGCGACGAAAGGAAGAAGAAACAAAGCAGCCGACGCUCUAGAGUGGCGCGGUGGUAAUCGCGGUAGUUGAUGUUCCUCAUUUAGUAAUAUGAAGAUUAAGAAGAAACAAAGAAGAUGAAGAAGAAUAAAAAGAAAUGGAGAAGAAGAAGAGAAGUGCUGGAGAAGAAACGGAGAAAAAGACGAAGAAAAAAGAGAAAAAAUAGAGAAGAAGAAGAAAUGGAGAAGAAGAAAGAGAAAAACGAAAUGGCGGAAUAAAAAAACGACAAAAAUAAAGAGAACUUUUAUUAAAAUUAAUUUAAGUCAUGGAUUUCUGAUUUUACCCUUCCACCGUUAAAUUUAACUGAAAAAAUGACGUAAUUCGAAGCUCUGUACAACGAGUCAAUUUUAUUGGGUGUGCAAUGUAAAAGAUCAAUUUAUUUAAGGUGGAUGAAAAAUGAAGAAUUUCUCUGUUCAUAAUUAUAUUUCUCUGUUUAUAAUUAAAAUAUACAAAUAAUAAUUUUUUU